GAGUUUGAUCCUGGCUCAGGACGAACGCUGGCGGCGUGCUUAACACAUGCAAGUGGUGCGACGAACCAGGGCUUGCCCUGGGGCAAAGCCGCGAACGGGUGAGUAACACGUGAGUAACCUGCCCCGAUGACCGGGACAACCCGAGGAAACUCGGGCUAAUACCGGAUGUGGCGCACAGGCGUAAGCCUGUUCGCUAAAGGAAGCUUCGGCCUCCGCAUUGGGAGGGGCUCGCGGCCCAUUAGCUUGUUGGUGGGGUAACGGCCUACCAAGGCAACGAUGGGUAGCUGGGUCUGAGAGGACGAUCAGCCACACUGGGACUGAGACACGGCCCAGACUCCUACGGGAGGCAGCAGUGGGGAAUAUUGGACAAUGGGCGCAAGCCUGAUCCAGCCAUGCCGCGUGGAUGAUGAAGGCCCUAGGGUUGUAAAGUCCUUUCGGCGGGGAAGAUAAUGACGGUACCCGCA
rnacentral:rRNA from 1 species